UUCCUUCGAGAUGUCUGCAUCUUUCUACUUCUCCUCUCAUUUCUACGACCAUUGCCCCUCUCAUUAGGUUAGUCUCAAUUUCUUCUCUUUUGUCUUCAUAUGUCGUCAUCAAAAACCAUCGUGUUAAGAAGCUCCGACGGUGAAACAUUCGUGGUUGACGAGGUUGUUGCGGUGGAGUCUCAGACGAUCAAGCACAUGAUCGAAGACGGUUGUGCUGACACCAGCAUCCCUCUGCCCAACGUCACCAGUAAGAUCCUCUCAAAGGUUAUCGAAUACUGUAAGAAACAUGUGGAGACACCGAAUAGUGACGAGAGGUCGCUGAAGAGGAUCUUAAAUCCUUUGAUUCUGACUUUGUGAAAGUCGAUCAGGGUACUUUGUUUGAUCUUAUUCUGGUAUUUCUGAUUCUGACUUCAUCCAGAUUAAGUACUUCAACAAUGGAUUUUGUGGCUGGGAUUGUUUGAAGAUUCUCUAAAGUUCGCUACUGUACUUUUAAGGUAGGUGUUAAGCCCGAAAAUGCAUUAAGACCGUAAACAACCAUAAUUCCGCCGACUAUAAAAAACCUAGAUAUCGCCGCCGCAACGCGCGGCAUCUGGCACCAUCCUAGUACAUAUGGUUUUUAAAGAUAUAACUCUUUUUUAGAUCGAUUCAACAUGUGUAAUAUACGGGGUUUUUAAGGAUGUAAUUUUUUUAUUAUUUGGUAAAUUUAUUCAACCAGAUUAUACACGGGUUUUUCAAAGACACGAUGUUUUUAGUAUUUAGUAUACAAAAUUACAUUUAUUUAAUCUGUGUAAUACAUAUGGAUUUUAAUACAAGAUACAGGGUUUAUAAAGAUAUAGCUUUUUAUUAUUUAAUAUAUAAAAUUACAUUUAUUCAACCCGUGUAAUACACGGGGUUCUAACCUAGUAAUACAAUAUAAGUUAGUCAUACGUUGACUCAUAUUAUUUUCCAAAGUUUAUAUUUACAUUUUUUGUAUGAACGUUAUAUGGGAAUAAUCUCUCAUGUAUCGCUUUUUUUCUUAUAUAUUAACAAAAUGUAUGUUAGAGCUAACAAAUUUCAAUACAUACGAAAAAUAAAGUUUGAGUAGUGAGCACUUUAUUAUCACUAGUAAUAAGACCCGUGCGCGUUGCAACGCGAGGAGAUCGCAAGUAUUGAAUAGACUUGUUUAAGUGUUAGGUAAUGCGUUAAGCAUAUGAAAACGCGUGUUUCGACAUAUGUGAUUGAACUCAAUGUAAUCUAUAUAAGUAUUGCGAUUGGAUCACAACAUAAAGUAAAUUGAAUCUUUCUCGUA